CAGCCGCCGCGGGAAUACGUAGGGUGCGAGCGUUAAUCGGAAUUACUGGGCGUAAAGCGUGCGCAGGCGGUUUUGUAAGACAGGCGUGAAAUCCCCGGGCUCAACCUGGGGAUGGCGCUUGUGACUGCAAAGCUAGAGUGCGGCAGAGGGGGAUGGAAUUCCGCGUGUAGCAGUGAAAUGCGUAGAUAUGCGGAGGAACACCGAUGGCGAAGGCAAUCCCCUGGGCCUGCACUGACGCUCAUGCACGAAAGCGUGGGGAGCAAACAGGAUUAGAUACCCCCGUAGUCCCUGUCUCUUAUAC
rnacentral:rRNA from 1 species